GAUGAACGCUGGCGGCGUGCCUAAUACAUGCAAGUCGAGCGGAAAGACGAGGAGCUUGCCCCCCUGACGUUAGCGGCGGACGGGUGAGUAACAUGUGGAUAACCUACCUAUAUGACUGGGAUAAAUUCGGGAAACCGGUGCUAAUAACGGCUAAUAUAUUCAACCGCAUGGUUCAAUAGUGACAGACGGUUUUGCUGUCACUUAUCGAUGGAUCCGCGCCGCAUUAGCUAGUUGGUAAGGUAACGGCUUACCAAGGCAACGAUGCGUAGCCGACCUGAGAGGGUGAUCGGCCACACUGGAACUGAGACACGGUCCAGACUCCUACGGGAGGCAGCAGUAGGGAAUCUUGCACAAUGGGCGAAAGCUUGACGGAGCAACGCCGCGUGAGUGAUGAAGGUCUUCGGAUUGUAAAACUCUGUUAUUAGGGAAGAACAAAUGUGUAAGUAACUAUGCACUUCUUGACGGUACCUAAACAGAAAGCCACGGCUAACUACGUG
rnacentral:rRNA from 1 species